UACGUAGGUGGCAAGCGUUGUCCGGAUUUAUUGGGUUUAAAGGGUGCUUAGGCGGUCUGUUAAGUCAGUGGUGAAAUACUUCAGCUCAACUGGAGGGGUGCCAUUGAUACUGGCGGACUUGAGUACUGAUGAGGUAGGCGGAAUGGACGGUGUAGCGGUGAAAUGCUUAGAUAUCGUCCAGAACACCGAUAGCGAAGGUAGCUUACUAAGGAGUAAAUGACGCUGAGGCACGAAAGUGUGGGGAUCAAACAGG
rnacentral:rRNA from 1 species